CAAACGACUCUCGGCAACGGAUAUCUCGGCUCACGCAUCGAUGAAGAACGUAGCAAAAUGCGAUACUUGGUGUGAAUUGCAGAAUCCCGUGAACCAUCGAGUUUUUGAACGCAAGUUGCGCCCAACGCCUUUCGGCUGAGGGCACGUCUGCCUGGGCGUCACAC
rnacentral:rRNA from 2 species